CAGCCGCCAGGUAAUACGGAGGGUGCAAGCGUUAUCCGGAUUUAUUGGGUUUAAAGGGUCCGUAGGCGGAUCUGUAAGUCAGUGGUGAAAUCUCACAGCUUAACUGUGAAACUGCCAUUGAUACUGCAGGUCUUGAGUAAAUUUGAAGUGGCUGGAAUAAGUAGUGUAGCGGUGAAAUGCAUAGAUAUUACUUAGAACACCAAUUGCGAAGGCAGGUCACUAAGAUUUAACUGACGCUGAUGGACGAAAGCGUGGGGAGCGAACAGGAUUAGAUACCCCAGUAGUCCCUGUCUCUUAUACA
rnacentral:rRNA from 1 species